AUGAAGACAGCCACUGUGUGGCUCCUGGUGGCUUUGAUCACCACGAACAUGAAUAUUGCCUGUGCUCUGUCUUCUAAAGAAACCUGGAGCUUGUCCCAUAAGUGCCCUAAUACCUGCUAGGAAUUGUGCUGAUCGAUGCUCAGGAGAUCAAUCAUGCCCCAAAAUAAAGAAGUGCUGUCCCACUGUCUGUGGUCAUAUCUGCAUAUUUCCUAUUUUU
rnacentral:lncRNA from 1 species